GUUUAGCCCCCAUUCCCAGGCCUUUGGCUCCAGUUCCCAAGGGUUUAGUUCCAAUUCCCAGAGGUUUAGCCCUAAUUCCCAGGGGUAUAGUCCCAAUUCCCAAGGGUUUAACCCCAAUUCCCAAGGGUUUAACUUCUAUUCCCAAGGGUUUAACUCCUAUUCCCAAGGGUUUAGCCCCAAUUCCCAAGGGUUUAACCCCAAUUCCCAAGGGUUUAGCCCCAAUUCCCAAGGGUUUGGCCCCAAUUCCGAAGGGUUCAACCCCCAUUCCCCAGGAUUCAGCCACAAUUCCCACCUUGAGCAGCCCAGGGG